rnacentral:rRNA from 1 species
AGUGAACGCUGGCGGUAGGCCUAACACAUGCAAGUCGAACGGCAGCACAGUAAGAGCUUGCUCUUACGGGUGGCGAGUGGCGGACGGGUGAGGAAUACAUCGGAAUCUACUUUUUCGUGGGGGAUAACGUAGGGAAACUUACGCUAAUACCGCAUACGACCUACGGGUGAAAGCAGGGGAUCUUCGGACCUUGCGCGAUUGAAUGAGCCGAUGUCGGAUUAGCUAGUUGGCGGGGUAAAGGCCCACCAAGGCGACGAUCCGUAGCUGGUCUGAGAGGAUGAUCAGCCACACUGGAACGGAGACACGGUCCAGACUCCUACGGGAGGGAGCAGUGGGGAAUAUUGGACAAUGGGCGCAAGCAUGACCCAGCCAUACCGCGUGGGUGAAGAAGGCCUUCGGGUUGUAAAGCCCUUUUGUGGGGAAAGAAAAGCAGCAGGUUAAUACCCCGCUGUUCUGACGGUACCCAAAGAAUAAGCACCGGCUAACUUCGUG